rnacentral:rRNA from 1 species
GAGUUUGAUCAUGGCUCAGGAUGAACGCUGGCGGCGUGCUUAACACAUGCAAGUCGAACGAACCUUCGGGUUAGUGGCGGACGGGUGAGUAACGCGUGAGAAUCUGCCCUCAGGAGGGGGGUAACGGUUGGAAACGACCGCUAAUACCCCAUAUGCCGAUAGGUGAAAUGAAUUUCGCCUGAGGAUGAGCUCGCGUCUGAUUAGCUUGUUGGUGAGGAAUGGCUCACCAAGGCUUCGAUCAGUAGCUGGUCUGAGAGGAUGAUCAGCCACACUGGGACUGAGACACGGCCCAGACUCCUACGGGAGGCAGCAGUGGGGAAUUUUCCGCAAUGGGCGAAAGUCUGACGGAGCAACGCCGCGUGAGGGACGAAGGCCUCUGGGCUGUAAACCUCUUUUCUCAAGUAAGAAGAUAUGACGGUACUUGAGGAAUAAGCCACGGCUAAUUCCGUGCCAGCAGCCGCGGUAAUACGGGAGUGGCAAGCGUUAUCCGGAAUUAUUGGGCGUAAAGCGUCCGCAGGCGGCCUUUCAAGUCUGCUGUUAAAGCGUGGAGCUUAACUCCAUUAUGGCAGUGGAAACUGAUCGGCUUGAGUAUGGUAGGGGCAGAGGGAAUUCCCGGUGUAGCGGUGAAAUGCGUAGAAAUCGGGGAGAACACCAGUGGCGAAGGCGCUCUGCUGGGCCAUUACUGACGCUCAUGGACGAAAGCCAGGGGAGCGAAAGGGAUUAGAUACCCCUGUAGUCCUGGCCGUAAACGAUGAACACUAGGUGUCGGGGGAAUCGACCCCUUCGGUGUCGUAGCUAACGCGUUAAGUGUUCCGCCUGGGGAGUACGCACGCAAGUGUGAAACUCAAAGGAAUUGACGGGGGCCCGCACAAGCGGUGGAGUAUGUGGUUUAAUUCGAUGCAACGCGAAGAACCUUACCAGGGUUUGACAUCCUGAGAACCUCUUAGAAAUUUGAGGGUGCCUUCGGGAAUUCAGUGACAGGUGGUGCAUGGCUGUCGUCAGCUCGUGUCGUGAGAUGUUGGGUUAAGUCCCGCAACGAGCGCAACCCACGUUUUUAGUUGCCAGCAUUUAGUUGGGCACUCUGGAAAGACCGCCGGUGAUAAACCGUAGGAAGGUGUGGAUGACGUCAAGUCAUCAUGCCCCUUACACCCUGGGCUACACACGUACUACAAUGCUACGGACAAAGGGCAGCAAACUCGCGAGAGCUAGCAAAUCCCAUAAACCGUGGCUCAGUUCAGAUCGUAGGCUGCAACUCGCCUACGUGAAGUAGGAAUCGCUAGUAAUCGCAGGUCAGCAUACUGCGGUGAAUACGUUCCCGGGCCUUGUACACACCGCCCGUCACACCAUGGAAGUUGGCCAUGCCCGAAGUCGUUACUCCAACCCUUGUGGAGGAGGACGCCGAAGGUGGGGCUAAUGACUGGGGUGAAGUCGUAACAAGGUAACC